rnacentral:rRNA from 1 species
ACUCAAAGGAAUUGACGGGGGCCCGCACAAGCGGUGGAGCAUGUGGUUUAAUUCGAAGCAACGCGAAGAACCUUACCAAGGCUUGACAUCCCUUUGACCGGGCUAGAAAUAGCCCUUCCCUUUUGGGCAGAGGUGACAGGUGGUGCAUGGUUGUCGUCAGCUCGUGUCGUGAGAUGUUGGGUUAAGUCCCGCAACGAGCGCAACCCUUAUUUUCAGUAGCCAUCGUUUAAGGCGGGCACACUGGAGAGACUGCCGUGGAUAACACGGAGGAAGGUGGGGACGACGUCAAAUCAUCAUGCCCCUUAUGUCUUGGGCUACACACGUGCUACAAUGGCCCAUACAAUGUGAUGCAACCCGGCGACGGCAAGCAAACCACAAAAAAAGGGCCUCAGUUCGGAUUGCAGCCUGCAACUCGGCUGUAUGAAGUCGGAAUCGCUAGUAAUCGCGAAUCAGCAUGUCGCGGUGAAUACGUUCCCGGGCCUUGUACACACCGCCCGU